CAGCUGUGCCAGCCUUUGCUGCCAGCAGAGCUGCUCCGUGCUCUGCCCAGCCUGGAGCCUCCUCCGGCCUGGCUGCAGCAGCUCCAGCUCCUUGCUGGGCUGGCCCAGGGCUGGGGCAGCUCUGCAGUUCAGACAUUAAAUAAUGCUGGUCCCAGUACAGACCCUGAGGGAUACCACUGGUCACUGCUGUCCAUCAGGGUUCUGACAUGUUGACCCCUACGCUAUCCUCUUUUGGUCACGGCCAUGUGAGGAGAGAGGAAUCUUAAAGAAUUUGCACAAGAGUGUCCAAGUCAUCUCUACCUGCUGACACAGUCUCUGUCAGACAAUCUGCCUCAUUUCUUCUAAUGGAGGAAAUUAUCAUCACUUUCAAAGAGAUUCCAUUGGAGAAUAUUUUAAGAACGGAGAAGCUCCCAAUGGGCUGGAGUGUCCAGUGUGCUCAGAACAGGAGAGGAACUGGAAAGGAAAUGUUGGAAGGGAAGAUGAUGUGGAAGAGAGAGGCAAGGAGUGAGUGAAGAAUAUUUGCAUCCAGAGGAAAAGCUUACUUCAGGAGUCUCUCCUGCUGCAGAUAUUCUCUCAUGGUGUUAUACCCCCUUAGAGGGAAAGUUCCAGGGGAAAAUGGCAAGACUACAAAGAGAAACUCUUUGCUAAACCUCAAAAGAAGCUGGAAGAUCUGAAAGAAUAUCCCACAUAGAGCUGGACAGAAAGCUUGCAGUUUUGUCUGAGGUCUUAUCCAGAGAAAGAGCUGCCACCAGAGUGCCCUAAGAGAGCUCUUGAUGUAGGUUUCUUGCCCCAGGCACAUUUGGGCUGGGUGCACAGAGAUUCAAAGAAAGAUCAGCCAGGAUCUCUGGGAAAAUCUGAUUUUUACAUGAAAGAACCAUGGUGAUCUGGAGACAGAACAGAGAAUAUGAGCGGAGAGUGUACUGGGGAGAGAUCCUGGCAAGAAGACAUGGUGAGGAGAGCUGUCUCGGUGUGGUCUUGCAGAUUCUUUUUAUUUGUCAGUUUAUUUGUGUUUAGU